CCUACGGGAGACAGCAGUGAGGAAUAUUGGUCAAUGGACGAGAGUCUGAACCAGCCAAGUAGCGUGAAGGAUGACUGCCCUAUGGGUUGUAAACUUCUUUUAUGAAGGAAUAAAACGAGGCACGUGUGCCUUUUUGCAGGUACUUUAUGAAUAAGGAUCGGCUAACUCCGUGCCAGCAGCCGCGGUAAUACGGAGGAUCCGAGCGUUAUCCGGAUUUAGUGGGUUUAAAGGGAGCGUAGGCGGGUUGUUAAGUCAGUUGUGAAAGUGUGCGGCUCAACCGUAAAAUUGCAAUUGUAACUGGCAGUCUUGAGUACAGUUGAGGUAGGCGGAAUUCGUGGUGUAGCGGUGAAAUGCUUAGAUAUCACGAAGAACCCCGAUUGCGAAGGCAGCUUACUAAACUGUUACUGACAUUGAUGCUCGAAAGUGCGGGUAUCAAACAGGAUUAGAUACCCGAGUAGUC
rnacentral:rRNA from 1 species